CCAAUCUGCAGAAAGAGCAGCAAUUCAGUUUUCUUCAUCUUUCUUUUGGUCAUUUAACAGUCAUGGCUUGGCUAAAACCAUCAUGCAGGAUACGCUGAUGAUAAGCAGGUACCACUUCUCAUAUGCCAAACUUACCUCAAAAAUAUGGAGAAAACAGUCCAGCAAGAAAGACCAAACAAAGCGUACACCAUAGACAGGAAAGUGGUGCUAAGUAACCCUCCCCACACACUGCUAGGAUUUCUUCUAAGAUGGCUGGAAACUAACAAAUAGAGCAGUCACUGGUAAGAGGCUUUGACAGCCGUGCAACAAACACUAGCACUGUUAAGAUUAUCCCAAAUAGAGACUUUUUCUUGCAAAGAUUAAGUGGGAAAAUCCAGAAAGUAUGAAAACUCACAGUGAGCUCUUGGUUCUCUGAACACAUUGUCUGGCUAGUAGAUUAUUUACUGUGCUUGGCUAAUUUGCCAUCUGAACCUUCCAGGCUGCCUUCCGAUGCUGCCAUAAGGAGCACCCUGGAUCAAUUUUCCCUUCUGAGGAAAUACUAAGACCAUUAGACCUUGUUGGGUUCCCCUGGGCACUAAAAUGUGUACUACUGCUUGCUCACAUGUGUAUAUGUAUACAUACCCUGUGAACCCCAAACAUGAGACACACGGCACAGCUACAGGUCUGGAUUGUGUCUCAGCUUUGCUUGACUACAAGACCUUGAAAGAGUCUGUUAGCCCCAUCUGUGAACCACACUCUUCAAGAGAUGACAGAGGUCAAGUGGAGGGCCAACAUGUGACACACAGAAUAAUCUCUGUGUGUUUGGCUGUGAUUGCUCUGCAAUGGGAAAGGAUCACCACAGGACCAUGUGCAGGUGCAUUCUACAGGCAAACACAGACAUAAAGGAUGAAUGGAGAGGCCAGUGAGCAGGCUUAGCAGGUAAAGGUCCUUCCUGCCAAGCUUGACUAUCUGAGUUCAAUUCCUGAGAUACACACAGUAGAAAGUGAGACUUCAGCUGUCCUCUGACCACCAUACAGCAUGGCACAUGUAUAUACAUGUAUGUGCACAAAUACACACAAACGAAUGCAUAAAUGUAAUCUUAAAAUGUUUCAAUAUGGAAGGAAUAGGGGCUCUGACCUAGCUAGGAAGUGGAGUAGACAGCGGGAAUCUGCUCUGUCCUGCCCUGACUUAGGGUCUGAUCUUGUCUCUGCAAGGGAAGCCAAGAAAAUGGAUCUUCUAUGCUUGCUGCCUUAGUCUCAGUAACUCGUGAGCCUUUUAAGGUCUCUGUCCCUCUGUCCUGAGCAUGCUGCCUUUGAGUCGUGAUCCCUUUGGGGGAGCUGCAUAUCAGACAUCCUGAAUAUCAGAAUCUACAUUAUUAUUCAUAACAGUAGCAAAAUUACAGUUGUGAAGUAGCCAUGAAGUAAUUUUAUAGUUGGGGGUCACCAUGACAUGGAGAACUGUAUUAAAGGGUCACAGCAUUAGGAAAGCUGAGAACUGCUACUGUAGAGCCAAGAGCCAACAGCUGCUUUUUCACUAUUGUCUUGUCUCAGCCUCCAAGAUGAGCCAGGCCAUGUACACGACACUUGACACCUCCAAGUCCACAGCCUCUUAGAAACAGAAGAGGACAAUGGUCUUCCUGAUGUGGCCCAGAUCUGAGCCACUUCUUGCAGAAGACCAGCCUGUGUAGAGUAAGAACCUGCAUGCAUCCCAGAGAACAAAAUGCAGACUUGUUCCCUGACAAGUGCAGAGAGAACUGUAAGAGCACUUCCUGAACACCAGCGGCGUGAGAAGGAUGAAACAUCCCUCACAUGAAAAUCUAUAAGCUGAGCAUUCACAAGCAUGCUGACAGUGCGGCCUGGAUCGCUGGGUAGCUGACUGGGGUACCUCUAGCUUCCCAUGCACUACUUCAAAAUCUGAAAAGCUCAAAAACCUAAGACAACUCAGACCCUGAGCAUUUUGAAUAAAGACUGAUAUAGUAAAGAGAGCUAUAAAUUCUAAACUCUGUUAUAAUAUUUUUAAGAAAUAAAUCAGAAAACCCAAA